UAGGGUGAGAGAUUGUGUGGUGGAUAUUGAAUUUGAGUAGUGUAAGAUUCAUGUACAAAAUAGGGAGUGUUUGAUAAUAUGAUUCAACACUUAAGACUGAAUUGAUUAAGUGAUAAUAGAUAUUUUCCCUACCGCCAAAUCCGCACCGAGAUCAAGUGGCGGUUUCAAAACUCCCACCCGCUGACCAAACCGACCUACACCGCCUAUGUAUAUAUAAGGCUCAUAAAACUGCUUUUGAAGAGAGAGAGAGAGAGAGAUGGUCAAUUUCUUUAUAGGGUUUGAAGUGCCUCUCGAUCUCGCCCAUUUCGCCUUUGUUGCCGAUGGACUCGCCUUCGUCGCCAAUCGACUUGUCUCUCACAUACCUGUGUGCUCGAUCGCAGGGAGUUUUCUACAAAUUUGGAACUAUACUUUCUUGCAAGAUGGCUGAGGAACAUGUGAAUAGCAAGGUUUUAGGUUUGUUCAGUUUGGUUCAGAGAAUUCAUCCAUGGCUGCUCUGAAUUCUCUUCAUGAUACCAUGUUUCAAUGGAAGAAAUUGUACAGGUAGCAUGCCACCUCCAAGGACGUAGCUUGGGAGGCUAGAGGCGGACACACUUUU